rnacentral:lncRNA from 1 species
GUUAUAUGAUACUUUAAAUUUAAGGAGGAUGACUAUGUUUUAGAUACUUGAAUGGCUAAGUGUAACCAUAAAACACGUGUACAACGACUUUCUUUUUAAGGGUUACUUAUUUUUCAUCACAAUCUUCAGACAUAUACUGCUUUUAAAUUGUUGUCUUCCCGUACUCAAAUUCACCAACAGAUUCUUCGUAUGCAGUGACUUUAACCAUGAUACCUUAGAAAUUCGACCAUCUCAGCGCAAAUGCGAAGGGGAAAUGCAAAGGAAGAAAGAGUCAGUAAUCGUAGAAGAAAUUUAGUAAUAUCCGAUUAGACAAAAUUUAGAACAAGGACUAACAUUUGACCUUUACCUCAUUUUCAAAGUUUGGACCCAUGGACCUCUAUUAUAAAUCCCCAUGUCUAUACGGCUUACUGGAACAUACAGAAAAAUGUAGUUGUCAGUAGUAGAUAUCUCCUAUCAGAUGUAGGUGAAUUGCUUCGGUCUAAGUCAGUCAAAAUUUCUAAAGAUGUGACGAACAAUUAGGAAAAAGAACUUGUCGGUACCUUUUUUGUUACGGAGGAAAUUUUAGAACAGUGUUUUGGGAGGUAGCUCUUACAAGGAUAAGUUUUCGGUUUAACAGGGAGAGUUUCAAAUGCACAUUAACUGUACGAUAUCAUAUACCAAAAAUCUAAGCGACAACUUGUGAUAUAAAAGGAGCGGAAGAUAAAAAAAAAUAUAAUAAUCAGCACCAAACCAUGAGGAUUUUCCACGUCAAAGAGGAAAGACCUAAUUAGUUUUUAAAAUGUUUACUCAACAAUCACUUUAUUUAUGUUGAUUAUACGUAACGGAUUCAAGCUAAAUGUAACAUUAAGUACACAAA